rnacentral:ncRNA from 2 species
GCGCCGGUAAACGUGUCCGGUAGCCCUGUUUUCCUUGGGCGUCGGGAAUGCGGUGAGGGGCCUGCCCCCGAAUCCGCGGCUGUCCCUGCAACUGUGAGCGGAGAGCCGACGAUCAAGCGUCCUUAGGGGACGCAGCCACUGGGCCGCUCAAGCGAGGCCUGGGAAGGCGAUCGGAGGCGACGACCCGCGAGCCAGGAGACCGGCCGGGCACGGUUCGCUCAA